CCCUUGGCUUCAUGUUUCCCUGUGAAAAGAUCGCAGGGUGAGUAACGUACCUGGUCUUUUAAGCCACUGACUUAGCCUUCAGAUGAAAUGAGUGAUCUGAUGGAGAGUUUGGGAGGAGUUAAGCCUGUUCUGUUCAGCCUGUCUUUCUAUUCUCUUUUUGGAGCCAACUGUCUUCAGGGCACUCACAUUCUUCUCUGAACCACCAUGCUGGAAGUUUCAAGUGUGAAGACUGUAAUUCUGCAGUGAGGCCUGUGGUCAUUCCAAUCUGCCAGGGACUGGGGAGGGUGAAUUUGUAUAAUUCAAAGAUAAAUCUGGAAUCUUAUUUUCACAUUUAGUUAAAUCUCCUAUUUCUCUAAAAUAAUCGCUCAAAGGGAUUUGAUGCUGGAAGUCCACAUUAGCACAGCAUUGCCCCAUAGCCCUUCAGAAUGCAGCUUUGAAAUAUUUGCACAGGGCUCGGGACCUGCAGCCCGCCAUGCCUGAGCCUCCCACCCACUCCACGGGCUCCUGUGUGGCGCGAGCCUCUC
rnacentral:lncRNA from 1 species